GUAUUCUCACUUAAUGCAUACCAUAGGUUUUGGAGCAAAACCUAUUCAUGUGAACAAAAAGUGAUUUGGCCGAGUGAUUCUUGGAAUUGUGAUCACAGUGCUAUUUCAUUUGGAUCAUUUUCACCUUUUUCUGUCAUAUUCUUUCUUUUGAAUUCGUUUUCUUUAUUAGUGAAUUCAAUAAUCUGAGACCACUCCCUCCCUACUGUAUCUUAACUGCUUCAUUUCUUCCUCUUAGCAUCAUUGGAGUAUGGAACGGACCAAUUACUAGGAGACACCUUAGUAGAAUCACUCUUCAACAAAAACCGCAAAAUCAUGUAUAUUUUCAACACAAUUUUGAUGGUUAAUAGAUAUAAUAGUAUAUUUUAAUAUCUGAAAAAUCUUGUUUAAUGACGCUGAAAAACAUGUGGUUAAAUGUGUUCAAUUCAUUGUUAAUGAGCUUCGAGAACUUGUUAUAUUCAGUAGCCAUCACUAAACAUAAUUAACCAUAUGUUUGAAUUGUGUUAACCAUCUAGGAUUCUUCUAGGACAACUUGUUUUUUAGAAAUAAUAAAGAUAUGUUUCUAGCACUUUGUGAGUUUGGAGGGGGAAGGGGAAGUGAAGGUUUGAGAGGUGGAAAAUAUAAAAGGGAAAAUAGAGAAAUCUUUUAAAUUUUUAAAAGAAUAGUUUUUUAAAAAAUGAUAAAUUAAUGCAUAUGAUUACUAUUUUUUUAAUUUUGAAAAUAGUAGAACAACAUAUAUUAAAUUUGAAGAAUUCGUAUAAACCCCCCAAAACUCUUAUUCAAUACAAUUUUUUAGUUUCUCAAAACAUGAGUUUUGUAUUAUGAAGAAAAGUUAACCCCCUAAAGCCCUCCCCUCCCCUCCCACUUUCCUCUAUUUCUUCCACUUACUCCUUCCUCUUUUUUUUCAAACCCUCUUCUCUAUUCCCCUCCAAACUCACAAAUAAAACCUAAGAGAACCAUCACGACAGAGAUAGGGCAUCCGUUAUUUUGAACGUGCAGCUCAAACUUCGCCUCAAGACAUGUAACAACACUUUCAUGGAGACAAGUUUAGUUAAAUAAACUUAUAUGUAAUCUUGUGCGUCAAUUGUUUUUCUUUUUUUGUGAUGCGAGUUUGUUAUAAUCAAAAUUCAUUCAAGUCUACGAGGAGGAAUAAUUUUCAUGUUGUUAGUUGCUUCAAUGGUUAAGGUAGCUAAAAUUAAAUAAUAAAAACAACAAUUUAUAAAAUUUUUACAAGUUGACUUGAUCACUUUUUAUCAUUUUCCAACACAAAAUUUCUAUUUUUGUUCCUUUAACAUUUCCCAUUUUUUAGAAAUGUUUAUGAACUAAGACCAUCUUCAUGUAUAUGAAAUAAACAUAUGUUUAAAAAUAUUUUUCAUAUGUUUAAGAAUUAAAAAUAUCAAAAUAAUUUUUUAUAUGUUUAAGAAUUAAAAAUAACAAAAAUUUUGAUAUAUGUUUAUGAAUUAAAAUCAUCUUCAUGGAGAUAAGAAAUACUGUUCACUUAACAGAAUUUUGAAUUAAAUUAAUUAAAAACGAAUACAGAAUAAAAAAAAAUAAAAAUAAAAAGUAUUCAAUUAAUCCGUCUCUAUAUAAAUUCAAAAAUCUGUCAAAGGAAGAGAAAUUUCAUCUCCAUAUGACAAUUGACCAAAGGGUCUGUGCCACCAACCACAAGGGGCAGCUGAAUACAUGUUACUUCCUGCGCUGGCUUCCGCUUUUUAUAUUCACACAUUUGCCUUGUUUCUUUCUUUACGCCCGAUGUGGGACUUAAAUAACUGCGUAAUACAAAGACAAAGUUCAGCAGCCUCUUAUAGCAGCAUAUGUGAGAGAGUCUACUCUUUUAUUUCUGUGUGCUUUUCUUAACCACAGUGGAUCCAAUUUCCAUUUCUUCCUAUUACCAUCAAUGAGGUAUCGUUGAGGAAGCUAUAAGAUUAAUCUUUGUCACCAUUUGAUAUUGUGAAAGAAUAAUUUAUCUCUAUGAAAUAUUGAUCUUAACAAGGAUGGGUUAUCAAACAGAUAAAGUGAGUAGCAUGCAUGAAAUUCUAGAACCAAUUAAACAAUCCUUUAGUACAAUUAAUUUCAUAAACUUCAUGCUUGAAUUUAUUUUUUAUUUACCAUGAACCUGAUGUAUAAGUAUACGUUUAAGAUACAGACAUCACAUUAAAUUUUAUAAAAGAAUCUUACAAAAAAAAAAACUCAAAUCUUAUGCAAAAGAAAGAGGAAGAUAUAUAAUGCCUCAGGCAAUGCCUUGUUGCUUAAUAAUCUUAGAUCAACACAAGUAAACAUUGAAAAAUGGUGCUGAAGUAUUAAGCACGUCGUCAUGGUUACAUCAAAACAUGCACUGUAUUAUUCUUUCCCUUUUCCUUGAGAUGGAACCUAGUCCUAGAUUAAGAUCAUGUUACAUUGGAACUAAAACUUCCAGUGCCUAUGUAAGUUAUCAGAUUUUACGCUACCUUUAUGAACCUUUUUCUUUCCUACAUGAUCAACUUUAUCUUUAGACUUGGUCUCUGUGGAUUUUCUUGUGUCCGGAGGAAUAUCGGUAGUGUCAUGUGAUUUCACUUUACAUUGAGCAAGAGCAUGUCUAUUUGGUAAAACAGUACUAUUCUUCGAUACGUAAACUCUUCCAUUUCCAAUCUUGUUUCUGCUCCCAAUCAUUAAGUCAUUUUCUGUAUACAAAAUUGAAACAAAAUUUUGAGGUCAUAUCCAAAAAGCUACAUAAUAAACCUUGAAUAACACAGAAAGUAGAUGCAAAGUGAGGAAACUAGAAUCAGCAUAAUUGAUGGUGCUUUCAAUAAUUACAAAUUUUCGACUAUGUUAAAGCAUCGCAUUCUCUGCACAGCCACUAACAACGAAUUGAAUUUUUUUCUCCAGCAGCUAGAAGUGAAAAUUAUUUUAGAAUAUUUCAAGUUUCUUGUGAGUUAACAGAAGUAAGAACCGUGCUUAUCUGCUAUAUAGAUAUCUUAAGACCCUGUAUUCUCACUUAAUGCAUACCAUAGGUUCUGGAGCAAAAUGAAGUGCAUUAUAAUUCAGGAAGCAAUGACACUGCACAAUGACACUAAUACAUUUCACAUUAAGAAAACUCCAAAAGCAGUCUCCUAACAAUAUAAUAUUACUUAACAGAUGUCAAUGCCACAACCACAAGCUCAAAAUUCAAGUUUUCCCUAAAAUAUUCCUUUUCUUUUCAUUUC
rnacentral:lncRNA from 1 species